rnacentral:rRNA from 1 species
AACGAACGCUGGCGGCAUGCCUAACACAUGCAAGUCGAACGAGACCUUCGGGUCUACUGGCGCACGGGUGCGUAACGCGUGGGAACCUGGCCUUAGGUUCGGAAUAACUCUCCGAAAGGGGUGCUAAUACCGGAUAAUGUCUUCGGACCAAAGAUUUAUCGCCCUUGGAUGGGCCCGCGUUGGAUUAGCUAGUUGGCAGGGUAACAGCCUACCAAGGCGACGAUCGAUAGCUGGUCGGAGAGGAUGAUCAGCCACACUGGGACUGAGACACGGUCCAGACACCUACGGGAGGCAGCAGUGGGGAAUAUUGGCCAAUGGGCGAAAGCCUGAUCCAGCCAUACCGCGUGGGUGAAGAAGGCCUUCGGGUUGUAAAGCCCUUUUGUUGGGAAAGAAAAGCAGCAGGUUAAUACCCCGCUGUACUGACGGUACCCAAAGAAUAAGCACCGGCUAACUUCGUG